AUUGAACGCUGGCGGCAUGCCUUGCACAUGCAAGUCGAACGGCAGCAUGAUCUAGCUUGCUAGAUUGAUGGCGAGUGGCGAACGGGUGAGUAAUACAUCGGAACGUGCCCUGUAGUGGGGGAUAACUAGUCGAAAGAUUAGUUAAUACCGCAUACGACCUGAGGGUGAAAGUGGGGGACCGCAAGGCCUCAUGCUAUAGGAGCGGCCGAUGUCUGAUUAGCUAGUUGGUGAGGUAAAGGCUCACCAAGGCGACGAUCAGUAGCUGGUCUGAGAGGACGAUCAGCCACACUGGGACUGAGACACGGCCCAGACUCCUACGGGAGGCAGCAGUGGGGAAUUUUGGACAAUGGGGGCAACCCUGAUCCAGCAAUGCCGCGUGUGUGAAGAAGGCCUUCGGGUUGUAAAGCACUUUUGUCCGGAAAGAAAUCGCACUUACUAAUAUUAGGUGUGGAUGACGGUACCGGAAGAAUAAGGACCGGCUAACUACGUGCCAGCAGCCGCCGUAACAC
rnacentral:rRNA from 1 species